GGGAACGAUAACGGCGUCGAGCGGCGGACGGGUGAGUAAUGCCUAGGAAAUUGCCCUGAUGUGGGGGAUAACCAUUGGAAACGAUGGCUAAUACCGCAUGAUGCCUACGGGCCAAAGAGGGGGACCUUCGGGCCUCUCGCGUCAGGAUAUGCCUAGGUGGGAUUAGCUAGUUGGUGAGGUAAGGGCUCACCAAGGCGACGAUCCCUAGCUGGUCUGAGAGGAUGAUCAGCCACACUGGAACUGAGACACGGUCCAGACUCCUACGGGAGGCAGCAGUGGGGAAUAUUGCACAAUGGGCGCAAGCCUGAUGCAGCCAUGCCGCGUGUGUGAAGAAGGCCUUCGGGUUGUAAAGUACUUUCAGUCGUGAGGAAGGCGGCGUCGUUAAUAGCGGCGUUGUUUGACGUUAGCGACAGAAGAAGCACCGGCUAACUCCGUGCCAGCAGCCGCGGUAAUACGGAGGGUGCGAGCGUUAAUCGGAAUUACUGGGCGUAAAGCGCAUGCAGGUGGUUUGUUAAGUCAGAUGUGAAAGCCCGGGGCUCAACCUCGGAAUAGCAUUUGAAACUGGCAGACUAGAGUACUGUAGAGGGGGGUAGAAUUUC
rnacentral:rRNA from 1 species